rnacentral:piRNA from 1 species
UGAUGACCUUUGCUCUUCUACCACUGAC